rnacentral:miRNA from 1 species
GGUCCCUGGAUGGUCUUGGGAAUCCCGGACGAGCCCCCAAAUGUUAUGCCCAGAUUUCAGGAUCCCCAAGAAACCAACAGGGAGCCAGCAGUCCGAUGCAAAAG